ACCGCAGCUGCAAGGCUGCGCUGAACGCGCAGAAGUCAGCCGAAGCCAUAGUACCUUGGGGGGAAAAAACUCAAGAGAAGGGC
rnacentral:ncRNA from 1 species